UAGGGAAUCUUCGGCAAUGGGGGGAACCCUGACCGAGAAACGCCGCGUGAGUGAAGAAGGUUUUCGGAUCGUAAAGCUCUGUUGUUAAGGAAGAACGAGUGUGAGAAUGGAAAGUUCAUGCUGUGACGGUACUUAACCAGAAAGGGACGGCUAACUACGUGCCAGCAGCCGCGGUAAUACGUAGGUCCCGAGCGUUGUCCGGAUUUAUUGGGCGUAAAGCGAGCGCAUGCGGUUAGAAAAGUCUGAAGUGAAAGGCAGUGGCUCAACCAUUGUCGGCUUUGGAAACUGUUUAACUUGAUUGCAGAAGGGGAGAGUGGAGGUCCAUGUGUAGCGGUGAAAUGCGUAGAUAUAUAGAGGAGCACCGGUGGCGAAAGCGGCUCUCUGGUCUGUAACUGACGCUGAGGCUCGAAAGCGUGGGGAGCGAACAGG
rnacentral:rRNA from 1 species